UACGUAGGUGGCAAGCGUUGUCCGGAUUUACUGGGCGUAAAGAGCGCGCAGGCGGUUAUUCAAGUCGAAUGCGAAAGCCCCCGGCUUAACUGGGGAGGGUCAUUCGAUACUGUUUAACUUGAAGGCAGGAGAGGGUAGUGGAAUUCCCGGUGUAGUGGUGAAAUGCGUAGAUAUCGGGAGGAACACCAGUGGCGAAGGCGACUUCCUGGCCUGUUCUUGACGCUGAGGCGCGAAAGCUAGGGGAGCAAGCGGG
rnacentral:rRNA from 1 species